GUAGCGCAGCCUGGUAGCGCACUUGCAUGGGGUGCAAGGGGUCGAGUGUUCGAAUCACUCCGUCCCGACCA
rnacentral:tRNA from 1 species